rnacentral:rRNA from 1 species
GGUCAAGCGAACAAGUGCAUGUGGUGGAUGCCUUGGCGAUCACAGGCGAUGAAGGACGCGGUAGCCUGCGAAAAGCCCCGGGGAGCUGGCAAACAAGCUUUGAUCCGGGGAUGUCCGAAUGGGGAAACCCACUCCUUUUGGAGUAUCCAUGACUGAAUACAUAGGUCAUGUGAAGCGAACGCGGUGAACUGAAACAUCUAAGUAACCGCAGGAAAAGAAAUCAACCGAGAUUCCCAAAGUAGUGGCGAGCGAAAUGGGAUGAGCCUUGUACUCUUUAUUUGUAUUGUUAGCCGAACGCUCUGGAAAGUGCGGCCAUAGCAGGUGAUAGCCCUGUAGGCGAAAACAGUAUGAAAGAACUAGGUGUACGACAAGUAGGGCGGGACACGUGAAAUCCUGUCUGAAGAUGGGGGGACCAUCCUCCAAGGCUAAAUACUCGUGAUCGACCGAUAGUGAACCAGUACCGUGAGGGAAAGGCGAAAAGAACCCCGGGAGGGGAGUGAAAUAGAUCCUGAAACCGCAUGCAUACAAACAGUCGGAGCCUCGUAAGGGGUGACGGCGUACCUUUUGUAUAAUGGGUCAGCGACUUACGUUCAGUAGCAAGCUUAACCGUAUAGGGCAGGCGUAGCGAAAGCGAGUCCGAAUAGGGCGUUCAGUUGCUGGGCGUAGACCCGAAACCAGGUGAUCUAUCCAUGGCCAGGAUGAAGGUGCGGUAACACGUACUGGAGGUCCGAACCCACUAACGUUGAAAAGUUAGGGGAUGAGCUGUGGAUAGGGGUGAAAGGCUAAACAAACCUGGAAAUAGCUGGUUCUCUCCGAAAACUAUUUAGGUAGUGCCUCGUGUCUCACCUUCGGGGGUAGAGCACUGUCAUGGUUGGGGGGUCUAUUGCAGAUUACCCCGCCAUAGCAAACUCCGAAUACCGAAGAGUGCAAUCACGGGAGACAGACAUCGGGUGCUAACGUCCGGUGUCAAGAGGGAAACAACCCAGACCGCCAGCUAAGGUCCCCAAAUAUGGCUAAGUGGGAAACGAAGUGGGAAGGCUAAAACAGUCAGGAGGUUGGCUUAGAAGCAGCCACCCUUUAAAGAAAGCGUAAUAGCUCACUGAUCGAGUCGUCCUGCGCGGAAGAUGUAACGGGGCUAAGCCAUAUACCGAAGCUGCGGAUGCGUGCUUGCACGCAUGGUAGGAGAGCGUUCCGUAAGCCUGCGAAGGUGCCUUGUAAA